rnacentral:rRNA from 1 species
UACAGAGGGGGCAAGCGUUGUUCGGAAUUACUGGGCGUAAAGGGUGCGCAGGCGGCGUCGCAAGUCAGGCGUGAAAUCCCCGGGCUUAACCUGGGAAUGGCACUUGAAACUACGAUGCUGGAGUAUGGCAGAGGGAGGUGGAAUUCCACGUGUAGCGGUGAAAUGCGUAGAGAUGUGGAGGAACACCGAUGGCGAAGGCAGCCUCCUGGGCCAAUACUGACGCUCAUGCACGAAAGCGUGGGGAGCAAACAGG